rnacentral:lncRNA from 1 species
UUUCACUGUCACCAGGAGAGCAGAAAGAAAAAAAAAAAAUCCUCCAGUACAGGGAUUGUGUAACUGAAAGCACCAUUACUGUAUAUUUUAGUGCUGGCAGUUAUGAUUUUGAGUUAUUAUUAGAGAAAAAAAUUAUAUGCUUUAGGAUUUAACUUGUCAGUUGCAUGUACAGCAUAUUACUUAAGCUUAUUAGCUAUACCAAAAAUAGAGCAAGGUGGAACAACAGAUAUUAAGUUAAGAAUUUUGUUGAAAAUUUAAAUUAGUGUAUAUUUAGAGAAGUAAGCAGAGAUUUUGUGUGCUCUCCUUGUGCAUGAAACUUUUCUUAUUAACCUUCCUCUACAGAUGAUGUUUGUGAGCUAUCAAAUCAUCAGCUAUAGAUGAAAAUACUAAUCCAUCAAAUAAAAGGCCUAAUUUCCAGACAAUAUACUUAUUUUCCUCCCCGAUUAGCUGUCAUUCACAGAAUACAUAUAUAGGCAUGGAUGCCAGUGCUGAUUGAGUGGGAGCAUGCAUACAUUUGAAAAGAACUGUUUUAAAGGAUGAAGCACCGGAAGAGUAAGAUUAGAUAACAAAUCUGGCAGUGCCUUAAGAACUCAUUAUGAACUGCAGCUGCUUCUAUCAAGCCAGAUGUUGAUGCAUCAUUUUCAUGAAAAACAAGGUCAAAUAUUGCACUAAUUUUGUAUUUUUCAUUGUCUUCUUUUUAAACAGCAAAUAUUAAAAAAAAAUGGUUAUUUACAUUAACUAUAUUACAUAUUAAAAUGUAUGAAGCCCAUGACAAUUCCUCUUCACUUAGUGCAGCACAGGCAAGCCAAAAGUUUGGACACCUAUGCCUUAAAUGCUCAUGGAUGUUCCUUUGGGUUUGCUUCACGUGCAUUUUUUGUUGCAUGUUUGUCUGUUUUUAGCUGCAAUUGCUAGUUCUGAAACUGAAUUUAACAUUGUAUUGUCCAUUGUGGACUUCACUAGAUUCCCUUCCAAACCUGAAAGUGAAGGACUGUUUGCUGCCUGUGAGACUUGUCAGGAUUGUUUGUAAACAAAGCAAAAUUUUAAGGCUUCAGAUGGGUGGCUAGAAUUUAGAUGAAGGAUUUAGCUGUGACAUUAGGUGCUACAUCUUGUCAGUAUUACAUUAUUCAUCAUUAUCAUAAAAACUAGUUAAGUUUUGGGUCUGAACAAUGCUGUAUACCUGGUAUUUCCCUUUCUUUUUGCACGUUUCUUGAAUGACUAGUAAGGAGGUAUGGCAAAUUCUGCUGUCAGGGCUUUCUAAUAAAAUCAAUAUAAAGUACAUAAACAUCAUCUCUAUUUUACAGAUGCUAUGUACAGUGCUUUUGUGUAUUUUCUUGUUUUUUUGUCUAUUACUAUUACUUUAUUUUAAUUAAUUGAUUAGUUUUCCUUCUGUAGUGUUAGAGAAAGAACCAUACUUUGUUUUUUAUUACUUUUUUAAAUGACUUGUUCUGUGCUAAGGCUGUGAUAAGUGGGUAGUGCAGAUUCUACAGAAUGUAUUUGCUAUUGAAUAAAAAGAUCUACCUUGUGUUGUAGAUAUAACUAGAAUGUAAUUUACAUUAUACAUAAAUCAUCCUGAUAUAGCCCUUCGUAUUUUAAUAAAACCUUUGAUAAAUGGUCUUAAAGAGUUCUUGUUUUCAAAUUAUCAAGAUGUGCAACUAUUAAAAUCAAGAAGUUCUCUUAGUGCUAAAUUGGCUUUCAUUGAAGCAGGGGAAAAAAAAAUCAAUUACAACAAUCAUAUUAUCUUUCAAGUAUGUCCAAUAAAGUCAUCUAAUGGAUAUAAUGUCUGUAUGCAAUUACUACUUGAAUAUACUGGAAUAAACUUAACUGCUAUAGUAUUUCCUGUUUUUUUAAAGUUUUCAUUUUGUAUGAAAAUUCUUAGCUAAUGAAUGCACAGUCAGCCUAACCUAGAACUAGGGAUCUACAGAAGAAUGCUUAUGUUUUCUUUCUCCUAAACGGAAAAGAAAAAAAAAAAAAAAAAAAAAAAAUGGUAGAUUCCAUUUUCUUUGCUUGAUUGCAAUAUCCUGAGUUGUUAUAGGCAGUGUGAGGUAACUAAUUUUGAAAACUUUAUCUUGCACUCUUCUCAAUUUUCCUGAACUUUUCCUGAAAUACUCCAGCUGGUACCCGUGCUUAUCAAAAUGUUCGUUAAUAAAUAACUCAAAUGUUCUGCAGUUGUUUCUCCUUGUCCUGCCUAGUACCUCUUUUUGCAGGUGAAUUAUAAGGUGGAAUUAGGCAUUUCCUCAUUGUAUUGUUCAUGUUAUACUGAAAGCAUAUGCUGACUAUUCCUGCUUGCAUCUCUGUUGGUUUUGAAAUGUGUCUAAACUGAUUCCUUGCUUGCUCCUGUUUGACAUAAUUUCUAUAAAUAUUUUCUAUAAUAUAAGGUGAUGGUUGCUGUUCUUAGAACCCAAAUAUAUUGUAAGAAAAAGAGGAAUAUGUGGUAGAAGAGUGAAGCAACAAUAGAGGGGGAAAAUUGCAAAAUACAAUUUAGAGGAGAAUAGUAAGAGGGUACUAAAAAUAAUAGGGAAGAAUCUGGGAGUUUGAAUAAACUCAUAGCCUAUAAGCAGGAGUACGGUGAUAAAACUUACCUUUUUGCUUCUUGUUUGUAUGUGUUUACUUGCAUAUGUUUGCUCGUAUGUUUACACUUAUAAACAGAUUAUAAUAGAUGUCCUUUCCCUCAAAUGGUGAAGACCAAAGCUGAAGAAAAUGUUAUGUAUCAUGCUGUCACUUAAACACAAGUGAAAAUAUCAAAUAUGUGCAAGUGAAAUGUACUAGCUUAACAUUUUUCAUCCUUCUGCUGAAAUAUAUCACUGCUGCUACCUGACUGCCGAGAGCUCUUGGUACCUGUUUAUGCACAGAGUUUUGCCUGGACAUACACAAAUCAAGACAGGCAAUGAUAUUUCCAGCUUUUGAAAAUUGCUUUUGUGUCAGUGUGAAUAGGUUUUUGACCUAGUUUAUAAGAUCAUGCUUAGUCCAAUGAAACAAAUUUUUAUUCAUAAAUGUGCUUUGUCAUUAUACAAGAAAUACUCAUGGGCUAUUUGGGUGAUACUGUUAGUUUUCUUAUCCUAAUAUAUUUUUAUAAUAUGCUGCUGACUGCAUGAGUCAUAUGAAUCGUUGCUGGAGGGGACAAAUGGCAGUAGAAAGGCCUGGUUUUUGCGUUUCAGGCUGUUAUUUACUUUCUAUGUCCAUGUGAUUUGUGAUGUGUCCGUGAUUUGUCCACCACAGAUUACUUGUCAAAUUUAUAGUACCUUUUCAGUGUCCUAGCUGUAAAGCAACAAGAGCGUAAUGCAACAAGUUAUUGGAGGGAUAUCUGUUUUCUGUCCCACAAUUGCUCUGUACACUUCAAAGCACACAGUAUUACGAACACUAUAUUCUAAAUGUUUUGUUUUGCAACAUAGUUCAGAUAAAGAAAAAUUAGGACAGUGAAUGUCCCACAACCUGUAGUCCUUGAAGUGGUAAAAGGAAAUGUCUGUAUACAAUCGUUCUGUAGGGAUGUGAUUUUGAGUCACUGGAUAUCGUCUUCUCUGCACUGCUUUGUCAAUAUGCAGUACUUCUCUGGUAUUACAGGUAGUUCUGCUGGAGGACUGCUUAAGCAGUUUGUCUAAAUUCAGGGGUCAUUGGGUCGGAGGGGUGGAAAGACAAGAUUUUCAUGGUUGCUUCUUAAACUGUGAAAUCAGAGUAGUGAGAACCUGGAUUUCUGUUGCUUUUCCAAAGUCUAGAUAUCUGUUUCACACUGAGUUAACAGCUGGGCUAACUGGCUAUAUCACUAUUUGAAUAGAAACUUCUAAUUGCCACAACUGGUAGAGAGAGCAAAGCCUAUGGAAGUUUCUCUGUUAAAGGUGUCUUUACUUCACAGACCGAACUGUUCAGAAGGGAUGGAUAGGAUGCACCAAUGUUGUGAAUCUCUGGAUACUGGAUUUUUCAGGCCCUUAGAAAGCCUUAGGAAGUGUUCAGUAGUUCUGGGCUUAGAGACAACAAACUUCUGUGAAGUAGAUGGAGAAGAGGGAAGGAUAGAACAGAUUGCUUCUGGGUGGUUCUCCUAACAGUGUGGUGUUGUCCUGUAAUUCACUAUUCUUUAUUUCUGUGUUCAUGAAACUGCUGCUCAAGCACUGUGGAAAGACAACUGGAAGUCUGGCUUCAUCAAGCAUCUUUAUACAUAAUGUCAUCAGACUUGGUUAGCUUUUGGAGGAGCAUGGUUAGAAGGAGCACUUCUGGAAGAGGCUAAACAAAAUAUAGAAAAGAUAUGAUUGGAGAAAAUAGAGUUGUUCCUCUGUUUUACUAAGUUGAUUUAAUAUUUGAUAUUAUUAUCAUGCAGAAUAAUAAGGUAGGCUUAAUAUUCUGCAUAAUAUCUUUAUUUUUAGUGCCUGCACUAAGAUAUAUAAUGAAACUGGAAGAUGUUUACUAUGUCUCGAGUAAUGUACAGAUGGCAUCUCUACCCCUAUCCAUAUGUCUUGUCCUUUCAAGGACAUCUCACAUACCUGUGGGUCUGCUACCUCUGUAGGAACCAAGUCAUUUUUGGAAAGAGGUGAUCUUUAAAAUUUAAUUUUAUCAAAAUAAACUAGAUCUCAUGUGUAUAAAAAUCUUUGCCAGAAACUAAUUUCCUUCAUUUUUCAUUCAAAUCAUUUUUCUUCAUUUUCUAGCCAGACUUGUUUGUAAAGGCUGAAGAGACAAUUGCUACUUGUGCAUGUUAUAUAAAAGUUGGAAGGAGUUUGGCAGUGGUAUACUUUGGUCCAAAGCUUUUAAAUAAUUCCAGAUAGAUGGACAACUAUUUCCCCACAGUAGAUAAUGAGCCGCAGGGGAAGUAAGGUCUAGUUACUUAGAGCUUAUUACUUUAUUGAGGUUUUUUGUGCAUGUGUGAUUUAGCAGACUAGAUUUUCCUUUCUUUCUCUUCUAUUAUUCAGUGAUGAUACGGUAAUAAAUACUAAUAGCUUGAGCAUUCAAUAUCCUAAGGCUAUCCUCAGCUCCCUUGGGAUAAAACAAGGCCUUAUACAUUUGACUUCUUCUCAAUUAAGUGAGGAAAUGUAGGAUGCGAUAGGAGGAACAGGCAACCUAUCUAAGUAUUUAGUAGCUAAAAUUCUGUAACCCAUAGGAGAAAAGUUUUGAGCUUUAUUCUGAUCUGCCAUUGUAUAAAGUGACAAAGAUCAGAUAUUCUAAGAGAUUGAACCUUAUCCAUAAUAUUUUGAGUUCACGUCUAUACCGGGUGUAAAGCCAUAGCAGCUAAAAGUCCAGGAGUAUCAUUGAGGACUUGCUGGGCCAGUUAAUUUGAGUGUGGUUUUUUAAAUGUUUUUUUGAUCAGAGAUAAAAAGUUAAACAAGGUAAUAUUUGCCAAAGAAGGAUCAGCAGUUGGGAGACAUGGGAAGAGAGAUUAAUAAUUUGUCAUCUUCUGAUUUUUUUUUUUUUAUACCUUCCAAAUGCAUUACCUGUGUGCUGUCUCCAGGAGGGAAAAAAAAAAAAAAAAAAAAAAGGUCUCCAUGCAUGGUGUUUGAAAAGCUGUAAGGUCUGAAUUAUCCAAGCUAGCAAUAUAAGGCAGCAGUGCCAAAUGAAUGUGAAGUAGUUUUUGUUUCCUUUUUAAGGAAACUUUUAAAUUUGUGGCACUAACUCUACCAGUGUUUUAUUCAUUACAUUUUCUUUUUCUGACAGUCUCAUUGGUUAAGGAAAGAAAGUGCUGUCAAACACUUCAUUAAUACUGAAUACAUCUAUAAUAAUCAGAGUACUCUCAGUGAAUGAUUUAAUACCUACCUUCUGUUUCUGGAACAGUGUUCCCUGACUUAUUUAGAGAUGCAAUUUUUGCUGUUAUAGGAAUAGACCCUGCACUCUGUAUAUUCUUUUUCCCUUCUGAAUAAUUUAAUUUUUGAUUAAUCAGAGUUUGCUAAAUCUACUUAGAUUGUUGUACAAAUGACAAUGAAGAAAAUUAGCUCCUUUAUGCUAAAAGAAAUUAUAGUAUCAGGAGAGUAAAUGAGUACUCCAACUCUACCUGGAUGUUUGUGCAUAAUCAUAGCACUGCAAAUAUAUUGGAAAACUGCUUUGCUGGAGGAUGCAUUUCUCCCACUGUGAUUUUCUAUGUUUUUGCAGCAUGUAUAUAUUAAGAUCAAAAAAGCACCAAGCUCUUCACCUGAGCCAAGUGGCCAGCAAUAACUAAUCUAUUCAACUUUCUAUGUUAUAGAGCUAUUUUAAUUUCAACUCAUAUAGAUGAUGAGUGUUAAAUCUUCUGGUAACUUAUAGACAAGCAAUAAUCUGGUGAGGAACUCUUAAGUUGCACUAACUAAUGUGUUCAUUGUGGAUAGCAUAAAUGAAAAACAUGAUGUUUACUUGGUCUCUUUUUCUUCCUAGACGAACAAUAAUUAAUACUAAAAAAAAAAAUAAAAAUACAGAAAACCUAGGGAUGAGUGAAACUCUCAUGUCUCGAUUUGUUUCUUUGCUUAAUGCUGUUUUGAACUGACCCAGAACCUUGGCAUAGAUGUCUGCUGUUGGUACUCUUUUUAGUUUUGCAUAUUAAAGUUCUGUUAUGGUGUAGUUUUAUUUGUUUGUUUGUUUUUUCGUUUUCUUUUAACUGUAAUACUAAAGUUUAGGAUAUAAUGGUUUGUGGUGUUUUUUUUUUUUUUUUUUUUUCCCUCAUUUAAUCAGCAUAGUUGGCACCCAAAGGAUUUUUAGAAUAUGCAUUCUUAUGCAUUGUGUACAGUGUAUCUACUUACUGCUUGGAUGGUUUUGCAUUAGUCUUACUUUUAGCUUGUAUUGAAAAUUUGUUUUUGAGGAAGAAUUGUCAAAUGUUACUGGAAUGAGCAUUUAAUAGAAAGAGAUCUCAAAGCAGCUUCAGACACGUCUACCAUGCCUACAGAACAAGUCAGUACAAAAUGCCUUUCUACGUGUGUGUUCGAGAUGGGUUAUAGCAGUUGAUUUUUCUACUAAUGGAUGCCAAAAUGUUGUUGUGAUACUAGUAGUGUGAAGUGGUAUAAGUGAGUUUUCUGUGCACUGCAAUAAAGGCUAAUGGUGCCUUUUCUGUCUCAUUAUUCCACAGGCAGUCUUAGUGCACAGUAGCUUUGGGAUCUCUACAAAGUGGGGCUAGGACCUGCUGCUGUUUCCUUUUACAGAUGUUCUUAGAGUAACAAUUAGUUUAUCCCAACAAAAAUUCUCCCCUUGAGAACCAAAAACAAGCUGAUCUUAGGUGUGCGCUAGCUCUCUUGCUUAAGAGAUGAAAGAACAGCCCUCUUGGGAGAGUGUGGAGAGAAAUAUGAAAUGUGAUACAUCUCCAGCUUUCCUGUUUCAGCUAACAAAAUGAAGAGGUGGUGCAGGUGUAGGUAGAGAUCUGUGCAUUUCCAAGUAGGGCUCCACUGAUCUAAAGAAUUCGUAGAAACAUGGCCUGUUUGAAUUUGGCGGGGACCUCUGGAAUUCAUCUGGACCAAACUCCCUGCUAAAGCAGAGCCACUGAUAGGUUCACCAGGUCCACAUAGCUUUUUAAAAUAUAUCCAAGAACUCCACAACUUCUCAGGGAAACCUAUGCCAGUGCUCAGUCAUCUGUACAGUGUAGAAGUGCAUCCCCAGUGUUCAUAUCACCUCGUGUUUUCCAGUCUGUGCCCAUUACACCUUGUUCUGGUACUUAAAAGAGCCUGGCUUCAUCUUCAUUGCAUCCUCCCUGGAGGUAUUCAUACACAUUAAAGAGAACCCACUUGAGCCUCCUCUUCUGCAAGCUGAACAGUCCCAGGUCUGUCUGUCCAUGUAAGGGAGGUGCACCAUUCACUUUGUUAUCUUUGUGGUCCUUCACCGGACUCUCCCCAGUGUGUCCCUGUGCCUCUUGUACUGGGUGGCCAGGCCUGUACCCAGCACUACAGAUGUCAGUUUGGAAUCAGUUAUAAACCGUGGGUACCAUAGAGGUACAAGUCUGAUAUUUUCAAGGCUUCUGAAACUGACACAAGUAAAUAAGUUGAAGAUAUCUAUAGUGACAACCCUGAGUGUACUAUGACGUUAUAUGUGUGUUUUAGACUUGGACACUUAAUGUGGCACCAUCAUUGCUAAACACAGAUAGUUAUUUGUUACUGACACCAGAAUGUAAGCUAUCACACUUCUAGAGAAAGCCUUCUGUACUCCAGACUUAAUCUGCUGUUCAGAAGUGAGAAUAGCAGGGCCAUAAUAACUUGAAUUUUUAAGAUACAGAAAAUAUGAAGAAUAAAGCCUAAUAUACUUAAUAGCUUUUUGUUUGUUUGUUUGUUUCUGUUUUUUUUUGCCAUUUUGCUCUAGUAUCAGGUGCUUCAGGAGCAUAAAUAAGUGUCCUUUGAAAGCAUGAAAACAUGUACUUCAGAAGAAUACAGCAUUUCCUAUGUGACUUGUUGAAGUUCUGUGAUUACUAGAAUUUCUUUCUGUGGAAUAAGGAUAAGUGUAUUCAAAUGAGCUUACUAAAGAUACCUGCGUAUGUGUGUAUAUAUAUACAUAUAUGUAUAGACUUAUAUAUGUGUGUAUGUAUGUAUCUUACUUUACUCUUCAAGGUAGGUGUCUCAGGAGUCUACUGGAAAUAUGUAUUAACUCCUUUAACUCUAAAAAUGUAAAGACCAACUAAAAUAUGAUUUAGAAAUGUAUAUGUAUGUAUUCAAAUACUGCUAAACUGUGUGUGGACAGAAGUGACUGGAAAAAGAUGAAGCAAAUGUGCAUCUGCCUUCCUCUCUCUGAUGCAAUAGGCUGGCACACACAGCACACGUUGAAAUGCUUUUCUUUGAAGUACAUUUCUUUGUCUUCACAAGAUGCCUCCAAU